GUAAAGGCAAAAGAGAGCUUGAUUGCAAGACAUACAGGUCGAGCAAGGAUGAAAAUCGGACUUAGUGAUCCGGUGGUUCUGCGUGGAAGGGCCAUCGCUCAACGGAUAAAAGCUACCCGGGGGAUAACAGGCUUAUCUCCCCCAAGAGUCCACAUCGACGGGGAGGUUUGGCACCUCGAUGUCGGCUCAUCACAUCCUGGGGCUGUAGUAGGUCCCAAGGGUUGGGCUGUUCGCCCAUUAAAGUGGUACGCGAGCUGGGUUCAGAACGUCGUG
rnacentral:rRNA from 1 species